CUGUGAGGGGGAUGAUGUACUACUACAAGGCCCUCAAGAUGCUCGCUUUCCUUGAUUCUGCUUCCGAGAUAGAUAUAAAGG
rnacentral:snoRNA from 1 species